CAAUAGCGUAUAUUAAAGUUGUUGCAGUUAAAAAGCUCGUAGUUGGAUUUGUGGCGGUUUCUGUGGUCCGAUUUCGGUACUUUCGGGGACUGCCAUCCUUGGGUGGAUCCUGUGUGGCAUUAGGUUGUCGUGCGGGGGAUGCCCAUCGUUUACUGUGAAAAAAUUAGAGUGUUCAAAGCAGGCUUACGCCGUUGAAUAUAUUAGCAUGGAAUAAUGAGAUAGGACCUUGGUACUAUUUUGUUGGUUUGCGCACCGAGGUAAUGAUUAAUAGGGACAGUUGUGGGUAUUCGUAUUCCAUUGUCAGAGGUGAAAUUCUUGGAUUUCUGGAAGACGAACGAAUGCGAAAGCAUUUACCAAGGAUGUUUUCAUUAA
rnacentral:rRNA from 1 species